rnacentral:misc_RNA from 1 species
GAUGAAGAACGCAGUGAAAUGCGAUAAGUAAUGUGAAUUGCAGAAUUCAGUGAAUCAUCGAAUCUUUGAACGCAUCUUGCGCUCCUUGGUAUUCUGAGGAGCAUGCCUGUUUGAGUGUCAUCAAAUUCUCAACCACUUCUUUUGAUGUGGCUUUGGAUAUGGGGGGAUUUCUUUUUUGCAGGCUUCUGAAAAACAAAGUCGGCUCCCCUGAAAUGUAUUAGUGGUGUCUGAGCAGGAGACUACUAUGGGUGUGAUAAAUCUAUCUAUGCCUUGGUACAACUGCUAUGCCGCUUCUAGCGAGUGCAUUUGACAAAUUUGACCUCAAAUCAGGUAGGACUACCCGCUGAACUUAAGCAUAUCAAUAAGCGGAGGA